rnacentral:rRNA from 1 species
UACGUAGGGGGCAAGCGUUGUCCGGAUUUAUUGGGCGUAAAGGGCGUGUAGGCGGUUAGUUAAGUCUGGCGUGAAAGCUCUCGGCUAAACCGGGAGAGGUCGUUGGAUACUGGCUGACUAGAGGACGGUAGAGGCGUGUGGAAUUCCGGGUGUAGUGGUGAAAUGCGUAGAUAUCGGGAGGAACACCAGUGGCGAAGGCGACUACCUGGCCUGUUCUUGACGCUGAGGCGCGAAAGCUAGGGAGCAAACGGGG